UACGUAGGGCGCAAGCGUUGUCCGGAAUUAUUGGGCGUAAAGAGCUUGUAGGCGGUUUGUCGCGUCUGCCGUGAAAAUUCGAGGCUCAACCUCGAACUUGCGGUGGGUACGGGCAGACUAGAGUGUGGUAGGGGAGACUGGAAUUCCUGGUGUAGCGGUGAAAUGCGCAGAUAUCAGGAGGAACACCGAUGGCGAAGGCAGGUCUCUGGGCCACUACUGACGCUGAGAAGCGAAAGCAUGGGGAGCGAACAGG
rnacentral:rRNA from 1 species